GGAAAUCAAACACAUUAUUGUAAAAACAACACUAAACUAGAGAAAUUUGAAGAAACUUAGAGCCAAAACGAUAAAAGAUUCGAAAAAAGUGCUGUGACAAAAUCUGCACGCAUUGUUAUGCAAACGAUAAAAGCUACUAAAAAUUACUGCAGUGUAUCUUAAAUUGUGCAAGGGCAAUAAUGUCAUUUUACAAUCUAUUUUAAGUUAAGUGGCUAGAAAUCAAUGACAUCAUGGACGAUGACUAUUUUUCGAUAGCCAACCGUAAAAGUGGCUAUGCCACGCCAUUUUGGCAAAAAUCUAUUAUGCCCCUACAGAAGAUUCAUUAUAUACAAAAUAAUGAGAUGAUUUUGGAGACUCCAUAACCAUUCGAGCUCCAUCAUCACCGUCGAUAAAGGGCCACUAGAACAUCGUCGGAGAAAAGGUCAUUCACCAGAAAAAACAGAGGCGGCAACGACCCCCUUCAGAAAAUACUCAAUCUUCACGAUCAUUCAACCAACAAUCUUCCAUUGCCCACCACCAUUUUCGACGAAGAAAUACCAUUAAUGUUAUAUCCAAAUUUCAAUAAAUAUCCAGUGAUCCAAGAAAGAGUCAUGAAUUAUUUAUUUGCUUCUAUAUUUGCUCUUUAAUUUGCGGCCGGCUUUAACAUUUAAUGAAUUUCUGGGUAAAUUUUUGGAUAUCAAAUUGGUCUAAGACAUUAAAAUUUUAAAUAUCCAAGAACCAUCUCCAUGGAUAUAUGUAAAGGUUGGAAUUAAGUUUUUGUAUGAUUGAGUGAAUUUUCCAGUGAUUAGGUCCAUUGAUCCAUUAAGAGUUGACAAAAAUAAAAAUCAGGUGAGAGGGUAAGAAGAGAUGAAGAAAGAAAAGGAAAAAGGGGACAGAGGUGAGGGGAAUUGGGGGCGAAGAGUACUAGAAGGAGAGAAAGAGGAAGGGAAAGGAGAGGACUUUCUAGGUUCUUGUUCGGUUUCGGGGAUGGAACGGGUGGAUUUAGAUAUUAGAGAAAAAAUGGUUUAGGUGUUUAAAA
rnacentral:lncRNA from 1 species